rnacentral:rRNA from 1 species
UAUAGCCUACGGGGGGCAGCAGUGGGGAAUAUUGCACAAUGGGGGAAACCCUGAUGCAGCGACGCCGCGUGAGUGAAGAAGUAUUUCGGUAUGUAAAGCUCUAUCAGCAGGGAAGAAAAUGACGGUACCUGACUAAGAAGCCCCGGCUAACUACGUGCCAGCAGCCGCGGUAAUACGUAGGGGGCGAGCGUUAUCCGGAUUUACUGGGUGUAAAGGGAGCGUAGACGGCCAUGCAAGCUCGGUGUGAAAGGUGCGGGCACAACCCGCAGACUGCACUGAGAACUGUAUGGCUGGAGUGCCGGAGG